CCUACGGGUGGCAGCAGUGAGGAAUAUUGGUCAAUGGACGGAAGUCUGAACCAGCCAUGCCGCGUGCAGGAAGACGGCUCUAUGAGUUGUAAACGGCUUUUGUACAAGGGUAAACCUGAAUACGUGUAUUCAGCUGAAAGUACUGUACGAAUAAGGAUCGGCUAACUCCGUGCCAGCAGCCGCGGUAAUACGGAGGAUCCAAGCCUUAUCCGGAUUUAUUGGGUUUAAAGGGUGCGAAGGCGGAUGUAUAAGUUAGCGGUGAAAUGCAUAGAGAUCAUACAGAACACCGAUUGUGAAGGCAGCUUACCAAUGUAUAUCUGACGUUGAGGCACGAAAGCGUGGGGAGCGAACAGGAUUAGAUACCCGUGUAGUC
rnacentral:rRNA from 1 species